rnacentral:lncRNA from 1 species
GAAGACGCGACUAUGUAAAUAGUGUAGUAUCGUGAGGAAAAAGCCUGGUUAGAAACCGAUCAAAACAAUGUCGUCUGUCUUUCGGUCGUUAGUUUACAUAGGGAAAAAAGCCUAUGUGACUAAAGUCACCUAGUUCUUGCGAAGCGUUAACAGGACGGUUUGAAUCUAAAAAAGUUGUUGUUGGUCGAGAAGUGAGAGUGAAUCGAGAGGUUAGAGUUAAUCAAGGAGUCGAAGAGUAAAGUUGAUAGCGUUGUUGAGAGUAGAGUUGUUAGCGUUGUCGAGUUGCGAGAGGUGUUAACGUUGUUGAGAGUGGAGUUGUUAGCGUUGUCAAGUUACGUGAGUUACUAGCGUGGCUGAAAGAUUGAGUUGUUGGCGUUGUUCAGUUGCGAGAGUGGUGGAAUUAGAAUAAGAUUGUUACAUUUAGAUCCAUAUUAAACAAUCAUCGUUUCCUGUCUCAUUAAUAUCUGUAUAACUAAUUUAUUAUAAAUAAAUUACAAAUUAUAAAUAGUAUCAGAAAAAAUGUAUACCUAAAUUUCCGCGAUACUACAAUAGAAAUAAACGAUGUGGCCAGGCUAAAGACAUCUUGAACAAAAGAGGUACGACCGCCUGUGAAUAGAAACGGAUGACAAAGUCAGACCAAAGUCACUGUCGGUGCACGAAAGAGACGCUUAUCAGAUCAUAUUCGAUGAAACUAACAGUUAUAGAAUAACAAUGAUACAGUUAUAUAAUUUAUAAACUGAUAGUCAUAGCACAUUGGAAUUUUGUGCAGAUUUUAACUAUUGCUUUGUAUUCAAGACACAAAAGCAUUUAUCUCUUAUAAAAAAGACAAUGUUCUAAACUGACAAGAUUUUUUACUCGAACGAUGUUUUAAGUAACCAAAUCAUUCACACUAUAAGCUUGAGAUGAUAAUUAUUGAAACAUACGCUCUAGUUCCUCGAAGAUGCACAGAUUAAAUCAAUUAACGACGUCGCCAUAAAAGAGGGUUAAAAAGAAGGAAGGUUAAAAUUGAAACGUGACCACGAUGAAGACGGAUCAAUUUUUUUCUGUCAGUUUAGACAAUCCGUUUCGGGUCUCAGGAGUCCCAGAGAAUCCACUUAUUUCAAGUCUUCCCGGUAUCUCAUCGUUCGAAACAAUUCCAUUCUCUUCUUCCACAUUUCCUUUUUUCCGCCUUGAUUUUCAUCCGUUUCUUUCCUUAAGGCUGCUGAGCAUGCGAAAUUUCGAGCGUCAGGCGAAUAGAAACGUGGCAAACAGAUCGAAACAGGGGGAGGAGGAGGGCACAAGGAGAGAAAAGAGGAGAAGCAACAAAAGAGGAGAAUCCGAUCGCUCGAAUCACCGACAAAUAUGAGUGCCUCGAGUGUUCCGGAGGGAGUCAUUGACCGUCUAAGAUUUCUCGAUCUUCGUCUUCUUCCUACCUGGAUUCAGCUACGUAAUAUCUCCCAGGACAAGUUUCGAGGAAUAAUAGAAAAUAUCUGGACACAAUGUUGGGACAACUUUUCUAACUGAGCGACUCCGAUAUACGAUAAUUUAUGGCUACGAAUUUUCUAUAUAAAUAAUUCUUGCAACGGAUGGAUUAAUCCAUACAUGCAAUUGUUAAAAUACGUUAAUUGGUCUCUAAACACGAAUUAUUUAUACAGGAUCAUUUCUUUGCUACUGUACGAUCCAAGUUAAUCUUUGUAUCCAUUGACGCAUUUAUCUUUAGAUCUUAAAUAAAUGGAAAAUUCAGUGAGUGAAAAAGAAGUUGAGACGUAGUCUGACUUAACGAGAUCAUUAAUUUAUGUUUGUACUUUAGAGCGGUUAGUUUUCAACAGCACAUACGAAUCUUUUAUUGUCGUAAUUCAGACAAAUUAGACAUUACUGAUGAUUAUCUAUUCUAUUGUAACAGUAAACACCACUAUUUAUCAAUACUUGAACACUCUGCUCAGUAUAUUCAAUUUCUACUUCGGUUCGAUAGAAAAACUAGAUUCUAAAAAUAUCAGUAACAUUUAACACGACUCCCACGAUAAUUUAUUGCACGGGAUAUUAACAGUCCAUUUAAUAAAUGUUUCCUUUGCAUUAGCAUCUAAAACGCGUAGAAAUGACAUGGAAAUCGGAGAGUCUAAACGAAAUAAGCGCGUAACGAGGAGAUGCUCGUUUUUGAUACUCAAUACACACCUCUCAAAUUAUGCCAGCAUCGGUUAUCGUUGGCAUCUUACACCAGUUAAACGCGUUAGGAGUAACCAGGCGGCGAGGCUGUGAUAUACGACCGAACCGCAGUUUUCUCCUAGCGAGACGAACGAGCACUGCCGCGGAAGAAAGCCAGGAAGCUAUGCAAAUCGAGAAAACGACCGUGAGAUGGAUUAGCUGGACGUCAGGUGGACUAAUGGAUAUUAGAAUUCUGGCGGGGGAUUAAGGAGACUACGUCAAGAGCGUCUACACGUCAGAAGAUCCUCGCAAGUUCUACUCGAAUCAAGCGGACCAUGCUCGGAUCUCGCACAGAAGUCUACUCUCGGGCGUCAUCGCCAAGCAGAAUAUUUCCAGACGCAUGGAAUAUCACCAUUCCUUCUUCAUCUUCGUUGACGCUAUCACAAUUGACGUCGGAUGGAUGUCAAAUAGCAUACCAUACGAAGAUAAGUUAUAAAAUAAAGAUAAAGUUACUGAACAUUCUAUAAGCAUAACAGGAACUAUACUUGACUUGAUUUGAUGAACAAAAAGAAGUUUAAUACGAAGCAGCUGCAGACAGGAAUAACCUGAUAGAUUUAAGGAGAUAUAUUUAAUUCCAAAAUCAAAUGAAAAAACGUACGAAUGAUUGUGAAUGUCGUAUUGAAUUAAAAAUUCCUCCUGUACAGAGGACUUAUUACGUUAUUUUAGCCGAACACUAACAACAAUUACGCUUAAAGCUAACCAGUCAUCAUGGUGUUAAUACAUAUUUAAGUACUCGAGAGAAAAAAUGACUUCAAGUAUCAGAACGAUUACUGUGAAAAGUAAACAAAAACGCGAUGGAAUGGACGAAAUACAUGGAGAAUGGAGUUUCGAUACGAUAUAACAUUUUCUUUACGCACUCUCGAUUAAUUCGAAAGCAGAUUGCAUCGGGGCACAUCCACUUUCACUGCAAACCCCGAGAGGAGAAAUUACGACGGUGGCCGUAAACUGCCUCCGCCAAGCAUGCGCGCUCGCCAGAUUUAAUUAAAUAUUUGCACUCGGUUUAAUCUUGCCUCAGCCGUUCCUUCUUCGCUUCGGCUUCUUCUCUCGAUUUGCUGUCGCCUCUUAUCCUCUCCCCGGCCGGAGCAGCUCCCUUUCAUCGUCCACGAAUAAAUCAUUUCCGACGAUUUGCAUCGAAAUAAUCAGCCUCGUUCCCGAUCACGAUAUCCAAUCGAUGUUUAAAGAGAAAGAGACAACGAGACAGGUCUUUCAGUUCUUCUUUGUUCAUGGCUACACAGAAAACUGUGAUUCAAGUUCAAGGAUCGUGUUAUCUAAUCACGCUCUCGCGAUAGUGAUUCAGAGUUAAUUUGGUGUGAUCGAUUGCUUCUUUUCUUACGAGUUUUCUUCUUUAUUAAAAGACCUGUAUUUUAUAUAUUUGCAACAUCAUCUGAAAUAAUUGGAGAAUUUUGCAAUACUAUUGUGCUAUCAAUACAAAGAAUAUUCGGACAAUAACAUAAAUUUAUACGAGUGAAUGAUUCUCCAAUUAUUUCGAGGUUCGUUAAAUCACUAAUGAGCCAACGAUUGAUAGUAUAUUACCUAAAACUGAUCCAAAUCCGAUUCAUAGAAAGUAGAUUGAAAUCUAAUAUGAAUUUACCUGGAACAUAAAGAGAAAGCGGUUUAUUAUAAACAAUUCUCUCACGGAUGCACGUGGGAAUGCUAUUAUGGAACGCGUAACCAUUAUUACAGCCUACAUUACAGAUAAGAUCUUUAUAUUCGAUCAUAUCUACGAUCAUAUCUAAGAUCUUUAUAUUCGAUCACAUCGAUAGUUUCUUUAUCGAAUAACACUUUCAAUCCCUUCUUUCGAUUCCGUAGACGAGCCGAAUCGUUUGUGUCCGCGCCUAACUUCUUUACUCUUCCAAGCUUUCGAAAAAUUUGAAAUACUUAUCGGAGCAUUUUAUUACGUUAUACACUCAAUCUUUAAGUUAAACGAGCAAAAGAUUUUUUCAAGAAAAAUAGAUUACUUCGAAGAAAUUAGCGUAACGAAGGGUUAAAAGAGACUCCUCCGUAAGUCUGUAAAUCCAUAAAUCGAUCUUUCAGCGUAGAAAUAAAUAUAUGAUAGAAAUAUAAUAUAUAGAAUAGAAAUAAAUACCACGCUUUGAACACAGUCGAUUCCUGGCAAGAAACCGGCAUCACAAACUUCUCGCGAAAUUUCCUCCUCGAGACACGAUUUCUCCGCGGUGAGAUUUAACGCUAAUCCAGUCGCUGAGAACGCUAGAUGUACAACUUUUCGCCAGAUUAAGUCGGGUAACGUAAUCUAUUAUGACGCAGGGGACGCGAAUGCGAAUUACCAAGAUGUUCAAUUACACAGAUUCUCAUUAUUGUUUCGCGACAAGGUUGUUCACGGCCGCGUUUGCAGACGGGGACUGAAACGAAAGAGAGCUUGACGAUGGCAAUUAGAGGCGAUUCGAGGCGGAUAACGAGAUCGUAACCGAACGAGCCACACCGUGAAACAACGUAUUCGAAUUUUAAGGGGCUAUUAAUUCGCUGGAUGCUCGCGUCGUUAAAAUGUUUAACGCGAUAUGUCGAAUGUAAUGGAACGUCGCGGCUUAAUUAACGACGAUAUCAGUUUGAUAAUUGCCUGACAUCCACUUUCGUGGUUUUGCUUCACCUUUUUCAGGUGAUUAUACGUAUGUAUAGGUUAUACGUGUAUGGGGUCGAAUGGAAUUAUAUAGCCGACGAUUAACGAAAUUUCGUGUUUUACUUGAUUCGUGUUCGAGAGGUAAUGAAUAAUGGAUUUGGAUGGAGGCGUUGCCGGUGGAAACGCGUCGACAGGAAUAUCUUGACCUUCGACCGUGAAAGGUUAACGCGUUACGUUUGGUACGCCGUGUCUACGCUUUCGACUUGCACAAGAAUUGCGACAUGCAUCCCUCUGUUCUUCUUCUUGUUGUACUGAAUCGUCUGACAACGAUAAGUUGAAUUUGCUCAUUCGCUUUUAUUGAAAUAUGUAGGGAAACCGUUUAGUUUCGAACGUUUAGUUCCGAUAAUACGAAUGUUAUUCAUUAACGAAAGAGGGUAUAUAUCAUUUAAAAUCUAAUCUAAAUAUGUACAUACGUGUAAACGCAAGAGAAUAAUUAAGUAUUCCGUAGAAAUAUUUAUACGGCUUUAUCCGGGAGAUAAAUUAUACGACGAAGGAGAUAAGAUGUGAAAAGACGUAAAUAUUACGUAAGAGACUUCCAAUUUUAGUUCAUGAGAAACGUAUUACUAUAUCAGAAACAUACAUGUAAUUCCACGUUCAAGGCUCUUGGUUUGAAUUUUUAAGAAACGCGUAUCGCAAUAGUACAGCCGCUGGAACCUCAGAUCUCGAAGAUUGCAAAUAGUAAAAUAUAUAGUAACCGAGGUUUCUAACUCGAAUCGAAAAUUUUUCAAGCCACGAUUUAUUUUUCGAAAGAAGAUAUAAUGCGCUCAACAAAAGUAAUUUGCUAAUAUACAGCAUAUACGUUGCAGUAGAACUCCAUUUAUCUGAUUUUGAUUUAUUAUUGGAAAAUGAAUAAUUUCCAUAACUGCGGUUUAUCGAUUCUCCCUAUUAUCUAUGACUUUUUAUUCACAUAACAGAAUCCAAUCAGCGGGAAACCACUUAAUCAAACACUAACUAAAGCUUCGUUUCAAUGCAUCUGCUCUUAGUUAUCAAAAAGUCGAAACACUCAAGAAAACUGAUGUUUAUUAUGCUUUUCAUUUUUGUUUCGUUUCAUUCAAUUUAAAAUAUUUAGUCAUUGCUUCUUAAUAGCUUGUAUAAUAUAACUUUACUUAAAAAAGCACCGGGAGCUUCAAAUAUUCUAAAAUAUUUUGAAAAAUAAGAUAAGAAAAUACCAAAGUCGUUUUAUGUAAAUAAGAAGGAUAAAAAUUCGUUGCAGUAAUCGAUUUUCUGUUGCAUAUAUGAUAUAGUAUAAAACAUCAACUAUGAAAGAGUUAACAAUUUACAUUACCAUAAAUUAAAAUAAAUUUUAAAAGCUUCUAUUACUUAAAAGCACUACAACGAAUUUCGAUAUCCCUGCUAAACUACACGUUUCGUCAGUAACAAGUUGGUUAUCGGAGGCUUACGAGUCGCAAAAACAUAGGCAUCAGUUGCGAAAGCGUUAAUAAAGUGGGUGACAUUAAUGUGUUUUUGACGCAUUGCGAUCCGGAGGUGAGACGUAUUGCGCAAAAAUAAAAAACGUCGUUGUCGCGUUGUUGCUUCGCGAUGUAAAAGAGUGUUUGUCCAUUAGCGUUGCAGCGUCGUUACAUCUCUCUUAACCAUUCGACCAAAUGAGCGAAAAGCUGCAUCGCGCAGCUUGAAAAAAGCAGAAGCGUAUAUUCGUCAACGAGAAACCGAUAAGAAGUAAAGAGCGAGAAAAAUCAAGAAAGAAAAGAGUCAAAAACGAGCACUAUCGUUGAAUUCUCGGUUUUGUUUGCCUCUAAAAAGAUGAUUUUCACACAUAGUCCAUUAAGAUGGUAAUAGACGGCAAUUAGGCGAUAAAGGGUUGAAUUCACCGACGAAUUGAACAAUUCACCGUAAAGACGGAAGGCCAGCGGUUGAAUUCGCGAAUGGAAACCAACGUGAAAUGUAAUUUGGCACAAGAGGAUGGUCAGUCUCGUGUGUCGUCAAUGUGCGACAGAAAGACGGCCAAGAUAACAACGCUGAUAUGCAAGCGACACUGGUCCAACUCUUGAGAGAACGUUCACCAAAUUAGCAUUCUGCUCGAAGAAGAAUUUUAAACCUGCUCUGAGAACGCGUAAAAAUUACCGUGAAAUCGUUUCCAAUAAAACUAAAGUGCUUUCUGGAGAUAUCUCGAACUCGCAGGCGUCCCGUGGUCUCAGAUUAAAUCCUGCAAGUGUCCAGCAAUUAAAAUUAGGGUUGAUACAGCGGAAUUGAGAACUACUAAAUUAGAAUUCUAUCUUUUUAUUUAAACUUUGAAGUUUUAGCAGUGAACAACCAUAGUCGUUGUCGUUUGGGUAAGAUUUCAAUAGGAACUGUUAGAAUACGACCAUAUAUUGUCAAGGAAGGAUAUUGGAAUACAAACUACAGAAAGUACUGGAUAUUUUACGACAUUUUUCUGGGAUCUGAAGGAAUUAUACAAAAAGUAAGGCAGUGCGCGUCGCAUCAACAAUUGUCAUACAUUUCAGUUUUAAUUUCUGAAAUUUUUAUUUACAAAUCCCCUUCUGUCUUUCGUGUUGUUUUAUCACUCCCAAAAAAAAAACAAAUUACAAAGAUUGUCAGCACUGAAAUUAACCGAAUUAAAAUUGUUUUAUCUCUAUUAACUUUCAAUUCAGUGAUUAUAAAUGUCACUGGUGAAAUAGAGACACGAUUAUUAAGUUGAAGAGAUUAAAGGUAUUUGGUGUAUAUCUACAAUA